UCACUUGUUUCUUUAAAUGAGGACUUGUAUCAACGGCACCACGAGGGUUAUACUGUCUCCUUUCUCUAAUCAGUGAAACUGAUCUCUCCGUGAAGAAGCGGGGAUACUCCUAUAAGACGAAAAGACCCCAUGGAGCUUCAAACCCAACUACACCCUUAACUACCACAACCGCACAACCUCUUAGGGCCCUGUAUAGUUGGUUUUAGGUUGGGGCGACCACGGAGUACAACCAAACCUCC
rnacentral:rRNA from 1 species